CCCUUAGAUGUUCUGGGCUGCACACGUGCUACACUGGCAGGUUCAGCGAGCUUCAUGCCCUGAUCUGAAAGGAAUGGGAAAUCUUUUCAAAACCUGCCGUGCUUGGGAUAGAUGUUUGCAAUUAUUCAUCUUCAACGAGGAUUGCCUUGUAAGCGCAUGUCAUCAGCAUGCAUUGAAUACGACCCUGUAUUCUGUACACACCGCCCGUCGCUCCUACCGAUUGAAGUUUUCGGUGAGGCCUUGGGAGGGCUAAGUGGGCUGUGUUUCACAGACUACCUGGCCCGAACCUGGUCAAACCUUAUCACUUAGAGGAAGGAGAAGUCGUAACA
rnacentral:rRNA from 1 species